rnacentral:rRNA from 1 species
GACGAACGCUGGCGGCGUGCCUAAUACAUGCCAGUAGAACGCUGAAGGAGGAGCUUGCUUCUCUGGAUGAGUUGCGAACGGGUGAGUAACGCGUAGGUAACCUGCCUGGUAGCGGGGGAUAACUAUUGGAAACGAUAGCUAAUACCGCAUAAGAGUAGAUGUCGCAUGACAUUUGCUUAAAAGGUGCAAUUGCAUCACUACCAGAUGGACCUGCGUUGUAUUAGCUAGUUGGUGAGGUAACGGCUCACCAAGGCAACGAUACAUAGCCGACCUGAGAGGGUGAUCGGCCACACUGGGACUGAGACACGGCCCAGACUCCUACGGGAGGCAGCAGUAGGGAAUCUUCGGCAAUGGACGGAAGUCUGACCGAGCAACGCCGCGGGAGUGAAGAAGGUUUUCGGAUCGUAAAGCUCUGUUGUAAGAGAAGAACGAGUGUGAGAGUGGAAAGUUCACACUGUGACGGUAUCUUAACAGAAAGGGACGGCUAACUACGUG